CAGAUUGCACAGAUGUUCAAAUAAGAGAACUCCUGGAUCCCAUCAUUCAGAGACGUCAUUGCUGAAAAAACAUAUCACCACAAGCAAUUUGAAGGACAUUGGCUAAUAAAAUCUUUGGAAAAGAAAAGGAAACCAUAUGAAUGCCAAGGAAAGAAGCACAGAAACAAUCUUCAAAAUGUCAGACUUUAAGAUUAAUGUACUAAGAUGAAUUUGAAAGCUAAGUAAAUAGAAGGUAAAUAGAGAUAGCUAAUUUUCCAUUUACACUGAUAAAGAGACGUAAUA